AGUGGCGCACGGGUGAGUAACAUGUGGGAAUCUACCUAAAGGUUCGGAAUAACUGCGGGAAACUGUAGCUAAUACCGGAUGUGUCUGCAAAGAGAAAGAUUUAUCGCCUUUAGAUGAGCCCGCACUAGAUUAGCUUGUUGGUAAGGUAAUGGCUUACCAAGGCUCCGAUCUUUAGCUGGUUUGAGAGGAUGAUCAGCCACACUGGGACUGAGACACGGCCCAGACUCCUACGGGAGGCAGCAGUAGGGAAUAUUGGACAAUGGGGGAAACCCUGAUCCAGCAAUGCAGCGUGAGUGACGAAGGCCUUAGGGUUGUAAAACUCUUUCAUCGGUGAGGAUAAUGACAGUAGCCGAAGAAGAAGGACCGGCUAAUUCCGUGCCAGCAGCCGCGGUAAUACGGAAGGUCCUAGCGUUGUUCGGAAUUACUGGGCGUAAAGCGCAUGUAGGCGGAACAAAAAGUUAGAAGUGAAAUCCCUGGGCUCAACCUAGGAAUGGCUUUUAAAACUUUUGUUCUGGAAUUCAGGAGAGGAAAAUGGAAUUUCCAGUGUUAAGGUGAAAUUCGUAAAUAUUGGAAGGAACA
rnacentral:rRNA from 1 species